rnacentral:piRNA from 1 species
UGUUCUCUGAUCGAGGGAAGAUGG